AGAGUUUGAUCCUGGCUCAGGAUGAACGCUGGCGGCGUGCUUAACACAUGCAAGUCGAACGGGAAACCUUUUAAUGAAGCUUCGGCAGAUUUAGCUGGUUUCUAGUGGCGGACGGGUGAGUAACGCGUGGGUAACCUGCCUUAUACAGGGGGAUAACAGUCAGAAAUGACUGCUAAUACCGCAUAAGCGCACAGGACCGCAUGGUCCGGUGUGAAAAACUCCGGUGGUAUAAGAUGGACCCGCGUUGGAUUAGCUUGUUGGUGGGGUAACGGCUCACCAAGGCGACGAUCCAUAGCCGACCUGAGAGGGUGACCGGCCACAUUGGGACUGAGACACGGCCCAAACUCCUACGGGAGGCAGCAGUGGGGAAUAUUGCACAAUGGGCGAAAGCCUGAUGCAGCGACGCCGCGUGAGCGAUGAAGUAUUUCGGUAUGUAAAGCUCUAUCAGCAGGGAAGAAAAUGACGGUACCUGACUAAGAAGCACCGGCUAAAUACGUGCCAGCAGCCGCGGUAAUACGUAUGGUGCAAGCGUUAUCCGGAUUUACUGGGUGUAAAGGGAGCGUAGACGGCUGUGUAAGUCUGAAGUGAAAGCCCGGGGCUCAACCCCGGGACUGCUUUGGAAACUAUGCAGCUAGAGUGUCGGAGAGGUAAGUGGAAUUCCCAGUGUAGCGGUGAAAAUGCGUAGAUAUUGGGAGGAACACCAGUGGCGAAGGCGGCUUACUGGACGAUGACUGACGUUGAGGCUCGAAAGCGUGGGGAGCAAACAGGAUUAGAUACCCUGGUAGUCCACGCCGUAAACGAUGACUACUAGGUGUCGGGGAGCAAAGCUCUUCGGUGCCGCAGCAAACGCAAUAAGUAGUCCACCUGGGGAGUACGUUCGCAAGAAUGAAACUCAAAGGAAUUGACGGGGGCCCGCACAAGCAGUGGAGUAUGUGGUUUAAUUCGAAGCAACGCGAAGAACCUUACCAGGUCUUGACAUCCGAUGCAUAGCACAGAGAUGUGUGAAAUCCUUCGGGACAUCGAGACAGGUGGUGCAUGGUUGUCGUCAGCUCGUGUCGUGAGAUGUUGGGUUAAGUCCCGCAACGAGCGCAACCCUUAUUGCCAGUUACUACGUUAAGAGGACUCUGGCGAGACUGCCGUAGACAAAACGGAGGAAGGUGGGGAUGACGUCAAAUCAUCAUGCCCUUUAUGACCUGGGCUACACACGUACUACAAUGGCGUUAAACAAAGAGAAGCAAGACCGCGAGGUGGAGCAAAACUCAAAAACAACGUCUCAGUUCAGAUUGCAGGCUGCAACUCGCCUGCAUGAAGUCGGAAUUGCUAGUAAUCGCGGAUCAGCAUGCCGCGGUGAAUACGUUCCCGGGCCUUGCACACACCGCCCGUCA
rnacentral:rRNA from 1 species